UGGGGGGGAGAGGGAAGGCGGGGGCAAGAUAGGGUGGGGGGUCAGAGGUCAAAGCUAUUAGAUAUAAAAUAAGCUGCAGGGAUAUAUUGUUCAGUGCAAGGGAUAUCCCGUAUCUUACAAUAACGACAUAGAGUAUAACUUUAAAAAUGGUGAAUCGCUCGAUUUCACACCUGCAACUUGUAUAAUAUUGUUCAUCAACUAUACUUCAAUAUAAAAAGUCAGCAGAUAUGAACAGGAAAACAAUUAGAGUACCUAUUCAAAAUAUCCUGUGAUGUUCAAUGUUUCAAUGGCUAAAACUUUAGCAUAUUGCCAGUUAAAAAUUUAGCAAGCACCCUGCCUAUACGCCACCUGGCAUUUAAACCAUCAUCCCGUCAGUGGCUUGGGUCACCCUCUCACGUCACGUGCUAGGCCUUUCUCUGUAUUUAUUUAGCACCUGCCUCUUUGGAACUAUAUUUAGGAUGUGCUAUUUCCGCUACGGGAAAGACGUCCCGCCUGUCACUGCAGGGCCACGGAGAGAACUCCUGCAGUGGCUAUUGAUGAUAAACACAGGCCAGCGAAGCAGACUGUGACAUUGCUUUUGGACCAGAGCCUCGGCCCUUAGCAGCGCUUUUGCAAACAUGAAUGAGAUGACAGUGCGUCUUGUUCUCUGCAUUGUCUUUCUUUGACAUUUGUUAGGACAGUGGGUGUGUGUUGAUAUCAUUAUUUUGUGUCGUCAGUACACACAAUUGCUAUUUCAAGAAAACAAAGCACAAUCAGUUCAGCCUCAGGACGGAAGCGCAGCACCGUGGAGGGCGGUGGAAGCCGUGGUUCCACACGUUGUUUGGAGAGAAAGGUUGGCGCUGGUGAAGCCGUGAGUCAGUGUGACGACCAAGCUCCAGGCCACGACCCUCGGGGACAGCCAGGACCUUGCAGCCUGGGGACACCCAGGCCCCCGAUCACUCAGGGGAGAUGUGUCCGCGUCCGCGUCCGCCCUCCUCCUUCCGGGACGGACGGCCUUUCACCGUCGCUGGCUUAUUUAAUCCUGGCCCCGACGGGGCGCUGA
ensembl:lncRNA